GGGUUGUGAGGUUAAGCGACUAAGCGUACACGGUGGAUGCCCUGGCAGUCAGAGGCGAUGGAUGAAGGGCGUGCUAAUCUGCGAUAAGCGCCGGUAAGGUGAUAUGAACCGUUAUAACCGGCGAUACCCGAAUGGGGAAACCCAGUGUGAUUCGUCACACUAUCAUUAACUGAAUCCAUAGGUUAAUGAGGCGAACCGGGGGAACUGAAACAUCUAAGUACCCCGAGGAAAAGAAAUCAACCGAGAUUCCCCCAGUAGCGGCGAGCGAACGGGGAGGAGCCCAGAGCCUGAAUCAGCAUGUGUGUUAGUGGAAGCGUCUGGAAAGGCGCGCGAUACAGGGUGACAGCCCCGUACACAAAAGCGCAUGUGCUGUGAGCUCGAUGAGUAGGGCGGGACACGUGGUAUCCUGUCUGAAUAUGGGGGGACCAUCCUCCAAGGCUAAAUACUCCUGACUGACCGAUAGUGAACCAGUACCGUGAGGGAAAGGCGAAAAGAACCCCGGCGAGGGGAGUGAAAAAGAACCUGAAACCGUGUACGUACAAGCAGUGGGAGCCCCACCACUAAGCCAGUGGUGAACUCCACAUCCGCAUCCUUUGCUGAGGAUACGGUUAACGGAGCGAAAGCGACGUUCAACCGCAAAACAAGCAGAGGGGGCUUAG
rnacentral:rRNA from 1 species